CCAGGGAUCCCGGGAGCUGUCCGGCCGCCUCGGUGCUGAUCCCGCCGCCGCCCACGGGCCGCUAGCAGCGCAGCGGGCACUAUGAGCGGGGGCGUCUACGGCGGAGAUGAGGUGGGGGCGCUGGUCUUUGACAUUGGCUCCUUCUCAGUCCGCGCUGGGUACGCUGGGGAGGACUGUCCCAAGGCUGACUUCCCCACCACGGUGGGGCUGCUGGCCGCGGAGGAGGGGGGCGGGCUGGAGCUGGAGGGGGACAAAGAGAAGAAAGGGAAGAUCUUCCACAUCGACACCAAUGCCCUGCACGUGCCUCGGGAUGGAGCGGAGGUCAUGUCGCCCCUCAAGAAUGGCAUGAUCGAGGACUGGGAGUGCUUCCGAGCCAUCCUGGAUCACACCUACAGCAAACACGUCAAGUCUGAGCCAAACCUGCACCCAGUGCUCAUGUCCGAGGCUCCGUGGAACACACGGGCCAAGCGGGAGAAGCUGACAGAGCUGAUGUUCGAGCAGUACAACAUUCCUGCCUUCUUCUUAUGCAAGACGGCUGUGCUCACCGCCUUUGCAAACGGGCGGUCCACUGGCCUCGUGCUGGACAGUGGAGCCACCCACACCACGGCCAUUCCAGUACAUGACGGCUACGUCCUGCAGCAAGGUGGGGCUUCGGCAGGGGGUGGGGGUGCCCCAGGAGGACCAGGUCCUGACAGUGCCUUCCUUCUAGGCAUCGUCAAGUCCCCUCUGGCAGGGGACUUCAUCUCCAUGCAGUGCCGGGAGCUGUUCCAGGAGAUGGCCAUUGACAUCAUCCCACCUUACAUGAUUGCAGCCAAGGUGGGGCCUCUGGGGACAUGGAGCUGCCACUAGAGUCCUGGCCACUCGCCCCAUGGCCGUCAACCCUCUGACACAUGAGAUAUCAGAGCAGAGAGCAGCAGGCUCCCCAGUGGGUCCUGGCUCCAGUUCCUCCUUUUAUAAUCGAGGCAUCCGAAAUCCAGACAGGCUGAGGGAUAUGCUGAGGUCAUGGAACCAGCUGGCAGACAGCAGGAUGUGUGAGGGCCAGUGUGGUGGGUUCUAGGGUCCAAUAUAGACCCAGGUUCAAGUUCUGCCUCUGCCAUGCAAGAGCUGCAGGACCGGUCGGGCAUGGUGGCUCACACCUGUAAUC
rnacentral:sRNA from 1 species